rnacentral:rRNA from 1 species
CACGUAGGGUGCAAGCGUUGUCCGGAUUUAUUGGGCGUAAAGGGCUCGUAGGCGGUUCGACAAGUCGGGUGUGAAACCUCCAGGCUCAACCUGGAGUCGCCACUCGAAACUGUUGUGACUAGAGUCCGGUAGGGGAGCAUGGAAUUCCUGGUGUAGCGGUGGAAUGCGCAGAUAUCAGGAGGAACACCAGUGGCGAAGGCGAUGCUCUGGGCCGGUACUGACGCUGAGGAGCGAAAGCAUGGGGAGCGAA